CGUUGAAACAUCGGUUCCCGUACGUUCACCGAAGUUAAGCAACACCGAGCCUGAUCAGUACCAAGAUGGGUGACUGCUUAGGAAUACCAGCUGCUGUAAG